GCCGGUCAUAGAACACUAGAUUGCAUUGUCACUGGGAAAUAAGCUCAUUCUAUUAGCUUGUUUCUCAGCUAGCUUAUGUAGAAAUUUGCCACAGUUGUUACUGCUGGGCACCUGCCCUGGAUCUGAUCAUCAAUUAUAUCAUCUCUUCCAUCUGAUGGACUGCACCUCACCCCUUGCUUUUUCAGAGCUGGCGAAGCUGGGCCAAGGAAAGCGAUAGUGCCAGCUGAGUGGAAUGUGCAGGAAGGGACCGAGGAGGGGCACUAUGUACUGGAGAAAAGAGAUGGGGUCUCCAGGACAGGGGUAAGGACACUAGACUGAGGGCACAAAGGAAGGAAACCACAAGGAAGUAGAGUAGGGAAGUGGGGAGCAUGCUGAGGAGAGAGGUCAAGAGAUGGUGACCGCUCUCUGCAUGCCCCAAGGAGAUGGUGAUGACACUCCCAAGUCCAUGUGGGACUCCCUCCUUAUGCGGGCCUCAGUCUGUCAUCUUCCUUGGAGCAGGACCAAAGUAAAUAAGAUAAAGUCACAAUUUCUCAUCCUUCUUCACUCAACUUUUCUUUGAGGAGAGAAUACAGCAGUUCCAAGGACAAGGGAUUCGUACCACUGCUCCUCACUCAGUAAAUAGCAGAGACAGAAUUUGAACGAAUGCUACGCUGGUAAGGGAAGAAAGCCUCAAGAAAGCAUCUGUACCAUUCCAGCAAAUACACUGUGCAUGCUCCCCUCCCAAAUGCUAGCAGGCCACUGCACAUAUGGACAGCCCACCCCAAGGGAAGAAUUGGGAGAAGUAACCCAAGACCCC
rnacentral:lncRNA from 10 species